GAGGUCUUAACACAUUACUAACUAAUAAUAAAUUAAUUAAUCAGCCAGCAGGAAGUGAUGUAAUAUCAAGGGAGCUAUAAAGGGAUGCCCCUAUAUUGCCUCUCAUUCUGUAGUUGGUAUUCAAUGAGGUUGCACUUGUUCCUGUAAAAAGGAAUAGUUUCGUUCAGGAUUUGAAAUUUUCCUAAGUUCUCUGUUUGGUGACAUGUAUAAACAGAGGUAGACUAUAAGGUUCCACCAUUCUUGAUUGAAAAUAGGGAACGUAACAUCAUCUAAUUUCAACCAAAUUUAUAUAUAUUUUUUUGAAGUCUAUCUAGAUAUUAUAUUUAUCGAAUUGAAUAUGUGAUUGGAUGUAAUCAUUGGAUAUUCUAAACCUUUCUAAUCAAUGGUAAUCACUCCUACUAUAAGAACUGAUUCCAAACCCCUGAUGAAGUCCUAACGGACGAAACGCUUUGGGUUUUGCAACGUCUGGUUAACAAAGUCCUUAUCACAAACAUCUGGUUGGAGAUACAUCCAUUUCGAGUUCUGACUGUGAUCACCUGGCUGUAAAAUCCUCACAUCCAACUGUAAUUUAUGUAUAAGAUUGUAAUAUUGUUUUAUAUGAAUUUUUAGAAGGUUGUGUCAAUAACGAACGCUUAGGAUAAAUAUCGUUUGUUUC